CCUACGGGUGGCAGCAGUGAGGAAUAUUGGUCAAUGGACGAGAGUCUGAACCAGCCAAGUAGCGUGAAGGAUGACUGCCCUAUGGGUUGUAAACUUCUUUUAUAUGGGAAUAAAACAGGGUAUGCAUACCCUCUUGUAUGUACCAUAUGAAUAAGGAUCGGCUAACUCCGUGCCAGCAGCCGCGGUAAUACGGAGGAUCCGAGCGUUAUCCGGAUUUAUUGGGUUUAAAGGGAGCGUAGGUGGUUUGUUAAGUCAGUUGUGAAAGUUUGCGGCUCAACCGUAAAAUUGCAGUUGAAACUGGUGGUUUUGAGGAGAGUAGAGGUGGGGGGAAUUGGUGUUGAAGCGGAGAAAUUUUAAGAUA
rnacentral:rRNA from 1 species